rnacentral:rRNA from 1 species
AUUCCAGCUCCAAUAGCGUAUACUAAAUUUGUUGCAGUUAAAAAGCUCGUAGUCGAAUAUAGGUUGUUUGGAUGCGCGAGCACUCUUGUUUAACUUGAGAUGCUUGCGCCCGUUAGCCGCCCUUGUGGGGUUCGAUGUUCUUGGUUAUCAAGAACACUCAAUCGAUCCCACACAUUACUGUGAACAAAAUAGAGUGUUCAUGGCAGGGCAUUAGGGCUUGAAUACCGCAGCAUGGAAUAAUAGAAAAGGACUUCCGGUUCGAUUUUAUUGGUUUUUGGAGCCGAAGUAAUGAUUAAUAGGGACAGUUGGGGGCACUCUUACUCCGUUGUCAGAGGUGAUAUUCUUGGAUUCACGGAAGUCGAACAACUACGAAAGCAUCUGCCAAGGAUGUUUUCAUUA